AUGAUGCCGCUCUUUGUUCUGCCAAUGCCGACCCACGUGAGCGAGAAACGACGCUUUGACUACUGGC
rnacentral:snoRNA from 1 species